rnacentral:lncRNA from 1 species
GUGAACUUGAUUAUGAAUUGGUGUAUGAUGAAAACGUGAAUAUGGCUGUUUAUGUGAUGUUCAUCAUAUUUUGUGGUGUUUUGAUCUGUAACUGUAUGAGAGAGAAAGGGAAAAGGUGUUCUUGGUGGUGAUUGGUGACUGAUUUGACUCUCUGACGUGAAUAGUGAUUUUCUCCCCCAUUUCCCAAUGAUUGACAGUGUUUAAAUAGUGACAAAUUAGGGUUGGCUCUGGUACAAACAAAAGACCAAAAUGCCCCUGCAGCUG